UUUUUUCUCAUAUGGAGUGGGGAGAGGAAGGGAACACCAAUAGAGAUCACAAGGUCCAGCCUGACUGACGUCUACUCCAUGCUCAGGAGCCAAGAACAACCUGGGGGCUGGCAGGAGGAAGGACCCUGCAGGCUGAACCUGGCCCCCUCCACAGACAGAAAAUCUUGUUCUCCAAGACCGGUAGAACUGAUGAGCUCUCCGCCCUAAGACAAAAUUCAUCCAGACUCAAAAGUAUGAUAAUGACGUGGUUGAGUAGCGAUGCGGUUUCACCAUGUUAUCCAGGAUGGUCUUGAUCUCCUGACCUCAUGAUCUGCCUGCCUCGGCCUCCCAAAGUGCUGGAUUACAGGCGUGAGCCACCGCGCCCGGCCAACACUGCCUCACUCUUAUGAGCAGCCCACCCUGAAUUCUCUCUCUCCCGAGGUGUACUGUCUACUCUGCACUUAACUUUCAAAAUAUUCUUUUUCCUUUGCAAUAAACUCCUCAAUGCUGCACCGUGU
rnacentral:lncRNA from 10 species